rnacentral:lncRNA from 1 species
AAAUACAAUAAUUUUUGUGUAUAAAAAUAUAAUAACUGUUGUGGGAGCUUCUCUAACCGACAACCAUCACAUAAGAGCUAUAGUGAUGAUACAACGAUCGACCUCACGCUGCCAGAGCAUCUUAUACCCGGCCAAAGGUAUAAGACCUGAACUGCCUAAUGGAUCCACUAGUCUAAUAUGAAAAGGAUUCAUCUAAAAAGUAUGAUCUUUUUCUACCCAUGGUGGCUAACAUGGUUCUAUGGGGACUGUGGGUUCUUUGAACGCUCCCCCAAUUCGGUGCUCGAUACUACUCCCAAAAAUGUACUGGCUCUUACGUUUUUAAAACAUAUGUCCUCCUACUGAUAUGAGAUAAUUACUCAAAAACUUGCCCGAAGGCUCUUUUGGAAAUCUCAGUUUCCAACCUUGUUUAAAUGUAAAAAAAAAAAACAUUUCUUUAAAACGUCUUUGGGAAUACAUAGUUCCCUAAUAACUUUGAGAAAAAAACUCAACUUUAAACUCUUUACUUUACUUGAACUCUUAACUUGACUUGAAAUUCUAUACCCGCUUACUUAACUUGAAACUUCUAUACUUAACUCUUAAUUUCUAACUUCACUUGACUUCUAACUAACUCUCCUUGAAUUGGAAUUUUGGAUUCAAGGUGUUUGCUCACAUGUUACGGAUGAGUUCUUGACUUUUAGAAGUACCUUGGAGUGUUGGAAACAACUAGGAAACAUAGGUAUAAUACCUAGGAACAUGUAUGAAAAAGUGGGGAAUGAAGGUAACGGGAAGGAUUGGCGUCCUUGGCGCUCUAAGAGGCGCGGGGCGCCAGCCCCCAACUUCAAACGGGACUACUGGGCACUCUGCCAGGCAGCAGCCCUCAGCUUCAAAGUGGACUGUUGGGCACUCUGCACUCUGCCAGGCCAGCCCUUUCCCCAGAAAAAAACCCAACUUUUCUCCCUCUUUUCUUCAACUCUAAACCACCCUUACUUCAAAGGUUCUUUUCCCAAACACUUGGGGUCAUAAACCCCUCAACAUAUUGUGGAUUCCACUAAAAAAAAACACAACCAAAUCUGUCCCAAAUCAGCCAGAACUUCAGCAACAGAACCAACAACUUCAACAACCAAAAUAAAUAUUUUCUUGGAAUUAAAAACGAGUUGGUGUGUGGGGGUAUAAACCAACCAACACUAAGGAUCAUCAAUCUCUCAACAUACAAUAAAUUACAACUCAAAUACACAGCCCAAUCCUGUCCCACAACCAACAAUAACUUCAACAACACAACUAACAACAUCAACAACAACUAACAACUUCAACA